UACGAAGGGGGCUAGCGUUGCUCGGAAUCACUGGGCGUAAAGGGCGCGUAGGCGGCCAUUCAAGUCAGAGGUGAAAGCCCAAGGCUCAACCUUGGAACUGCCUUUGAUACUGUUUGGCUUGAGACCGGUAGAGGUAAGUGGAACUGCGAGCGUAGAGGUGAAAUUCGUAGAUAUUCGGAGGAACACCAGUGGCGAAGGCGGCUCACUGGUCCAUUACUGACGCUGAGGUGCGAAAGCGUGGGGAGCAAACAGG
rnacentral:rRNA from 1 species